rnacentral:ncRNA from 2 species
AAACUAAAUAUUAUAACAGGUGCCGGUUGUAUCUAGUUGAUACCAAUCGGUGAAAAGGGAAGUGGGUGCAAAUCCCACGCGGUCCCGCCGCUGUAAAAGAGGAGUCCCCUCAGUAAUGCCACUGUUCAACGGGAAGGCAGAGGGAGAUGAUGAUGCUUGAGCCAGAAGACCUGCCUGUUAUGGACACCGUUA